ACCUUCUAUCGAAAGGGAAUCGGGUUAACAUUCCCGAACCGGGAUGUGGAGAGUAAGCGGCAACGCAAAUGAACUUGAGGACGUCGGCGGGAGCCCCGGGCAAGGUUGUCUUUCUUGUUUAACGCGCCCAACGCCCUGGAAUCAGAUUAUCUGGAGAUAGGGCUUGUCGGCCGGGAAAGUAC
rnacentral:rRNA from 14 species